UACGUAGGGUGCGAGCGUUAAUCGGAAUUACUGGGCGUAAAGCGUGCGCAGGCGGUUUUGUAAGCCAGAUGUGAAAUCCCCGGGCUUAACCUGGGAAUGGCAUUUGGGACUGCAAGGCUUGAGUGCGGCAGAGGAGACUGGAAUUCCCGGUGUAGCAGUGAAAUGCGUAGAUAUCGGGAGGAACACCGGUGGCGAAGGCGGGUCUCUGGGCCGAUACUGACACUGAGGAGCGAAAGCGUGGGGAGCGAACAGG
rnacentral:rRNA from 1 species